rnacentral:rRNA from 1 species
UACGUAGGGCAGCGAGCGUUUGUUCGGAGUUACUAGGGCGUGAAGAGUGCGUAGGCGGUUUUCUAAGUUUGGUGAUGAAAUCUCCCGGCUCAACUCGGGAGGGUGCGCCGAAAGACUGGAAGGCUUGAGUAUGGGAGAGGUAAGCGGAAUUCCUGGUGUAGCGGUGAAAUGCGUAGAUAUCAGGAGGAACACCUGCGGUGUAGACGGCUUACUGGACCAUAACUGACGCUGAGGCACGAAAGCGUGGGUAGCAAACAGG